GAAGGCUGAGCAGAUGGGGAUAGCUGCUGGGUUUGGAGGAUGUGGAGAAAUUUGCUACUCAACAAGGAGCUCAGAUUUACUCUCGGAGGGAAUUUUGGUAUCCAACUGCUUGGCCUUCUGAUGUUUGGGCAGCGGCCUACUCUGCACCUCUCAUGUGUUCAUUCUGGAACUCAGGAUUCACAAAAACAUGAUUUGGAUCUUAAUUCUUCAGGUGGAAUCCCAGGGAUUUCCAUUACCAAGUUUCAUUUACUUUGUCAUUCUUUAUUUCUGUGCAUUUUUUUUCUAUACAGUUUGAGUUAAAUCUCCACAAGUCAUCUAUUUCGUAUGAUCCCUCACAGUUCCAUUUACCUGUGGGUCAGUGGUGAAUUCAUGAGAAAAUACUGGUUUGUCAGAAUGUUAUUUAUUGGUCCUGACUGAAAAUAAGCACCAUGCUACUAAGACAAACAGUGGCGGUUUGAAUCUUGACACAGGAUUCAAUGGAAGAAGGAAGAUCCGGAUUGAUGUCUCUGACUGGUCUCAUUCACAUCUGAGCUCUGACCUGGAAUCUUGUUUAUCACACUGUUUUCUGACAACUGCAGUUAUUAAAGAGUCCAUUCCAUCUUGCCAUAGGGGGAUUGACUGUUGUUUGUGCAUGCGAGUUCACAUGGACUUCUCCCUGGGUAGCAUCUCUGGCCUUACCUCAUUGCAGUGAGCUUGCAUGAGUGCAGCACCCAGGACCAAAACAUUUGCACAGCCUGUUUUUUUUUAAUUAUAAAUUUAUUAUUACCAUUAUUAUUUAAAUAAAAUAUUGUAUCCA
rnacentral:lncRNA from 7 species